GGAUCAUCUUUUUUUCUCUAUGACCGUUUGAAGAAGACCGUUUGAAGAACAAUUAUAACGUUCCAAGUCUCUCUCUCUGAUUUCUCUCGUUAUUUCGAAUCCCUAAAUUUUUAUUUUCGGCAAACAUCUGAAGAAGUUUAUGAUCACCGACGAUUGUUUUCUCCGGCGACUAUUCGACGAUCAGACAAUCGAUUCCCUAAUUAAGAUGUUCUUUGCCUGAAAGAAGAAGAAGAAGACGGUUUAUCUUCGCUCUUUGUGAUUCGAGUUUCUCUUGGUAAAUUGAAUUCCCAAAGUCAGAAGUUACUUUGAAAUUUUAGUGGUUUUGUUAAUUUUGAAGGUCUAAUCAUCUGUGAUCUCUCUACUCUAAGAGAAGAUUAUCAAAGAUAUGAGUUCCGCUUCUCU